rnacentral:rRNA from 1 species
AAUUGUUUAGUGACAGACGGGUGAGUAUGCGUAGGAUCUACCUAGUAGUACGGAAUAGCCAUUAGAAAUGGUGGGUAAUACUGUAUAAUCCCCGAGGGGGAAAGAUUUAUCGCUAUUAGAUGAGCCUACGUUAGAUUAGCUAGUUGGUGAGGUAAUGGCUUACCAAGGCUAUGAUCUAUAGCUGGUCUGAGAGGACGAUCAGCCACACUGGAACUGAGAUACGGUCCAGACUCCUACGGGAGGCAGCAGUGGGGAAUAUUGGACAAUGGGCGAAAGCCUGAUCCAGCUAUGCCGCGUGAGUGAAGAAGGCCUUCGGGUUGUAAAACUCUUUCAAUAGGGAAGAUAAUGCGGUUACCUAUGAUGACCUUCAGGUGAUUCCUGCUUUUGUCCCUACUUACUAAUACAUUAAGCAUUUUAAAGGCGGUAUUAUUGUAAACCCUUACAGGUAAAUUUACCUUUAUGGGGGGAGGCAAACCUCCCAAUAAUAAGGUUACUUAGUUUAAAUAUUUUAGGUUGUAAAUUGAAAUCCUAUUGUAAAUUUUAAACUUUACAUUUUUUAUUUUUUUAAUUUUGGAUUUUUUUUUGGGAAAAUUCUUUUAAAGCUUUAUCAAGUUAAUUUUAAUUGCCUUUUAUUACACUUACCAAUAAUUCAUCUUUUUACCAAUUUAAAUUAAAAAAAUUUAAAAGGGGCACAGGUAAAAUUUGAAAUUGAACUACCACAUAAAAUUUACACCCCCCCACCUUUUCUAUACCAAUUAAAUGUACGUCCAAUCUAUAUAUUUUUAAACUUUUAUUUAAUUAAUAAUGUUAACAUUUUUUUAAUUAAAUUGUUAAAUAUAUAAAUUCAAAAUUAUAUUAAACAUUUUUUAAUUUUCUGACAUAACUCUGUAAAAUUCAAUUUUUAUAUGUAAAAGUGUAAAAAAUGAUCUCACACACCCCUUAACUGCCCCCAAUCUGUCAAAACCUGAACUAAAUCUUUAAUCUUAACCUAAUUGCUAAUAAUAACUGUGUUUAACAUUUUGAAACUCCUUAGGCUUUAACUUUUAUCUAAUUCGCAUUUCACAGCCUUGUCCAGGUGUUUUCAUGCCCCUUUUAAUCAUGCUGACACACCCUUUACACAUUUCCAAAUUGAAAAAGUGA